GUAAAACUCUGUUAUUAGGGAAGAACAUAUGUGUAAGUAACUGUGCACAUCUUGACGGUACCUAAUCAGAAAGCCACGGCUAACUACGUGCCAGCAGCCGCGGUAAUACGUAGGUGGCAAGCGUUAUCCGGAAUUAUUGGGCGUAAAGCGCGCGUAGGCGGUUUUUUAAGUCUGAUGUGAAAGCCCACGGCUCAACCGUGGAGGGUCAUUGGAAACUGGAAAACUUGAGUGCAGAAGAGGAAAGUGGAAUUCCAUGUGUAGCGGUGAAAUGCGCAGAGAUAUGGAG
rnacentral:rRNA from 1 species